CCCCUUUAGGGUCGGGGGUCGUACCGCCGGCGGCUGCCCUGCUGAGGUCGCGCUUCGUCCCGUUCCUCCUCCCCUCACUCAUGCGUUCUCCCCUUCGUUUCUGUCUCGCUCCAGCUGCCGGGACCUGCCGGCCCCCCCGAGCCGCGGGCGGAGCGAGGGAACGCCGCCGACAUGGCAACAGCCCCGGCGGCUGCUGCCCCUCCGGCGCCGCGCAGCUUGCCCCCUGUGCCUUCUACAUCAAGAAUGGGAUUUUCAGAACUUUCCGUCAGGGAGCGUAUGAGAGAGAAACUGAAAGCAGCCAGGUCAAAAGCAGAAGCUACUUUAUCUCAAGAAGACCUGGGUCCACGGCCAAGGCAUUUAAAAAGCAUCAGAGAAAGGAAAGCAGAACUGAGACUGGAUAAAGGGUCUGGUGAUCAACUUGGGGAGUUGCAAAGGGAUGAAUCUCUCUUAUCAUCAAAAAUAAAGUUUUCUGAUUCUGUGAAAAAACUCAAGCAGAAGUCACAGGCCCAGAGUGAUUAUCCUUCUGCUGAAGAAGCGUAUAACUUCUUUACCUUAAAUUUUGAUCCUGAACCAGAGAGUAUAAAGGCUGGAGCACGGAAAAGGAGUGAAUUAAAUGAAGAAGAGGCAGAAGAAUAUGUAGAAACUCAUGAGGAAGAACAAGAGGAGGAUGAAACGGAUGAAGAUGCACACCUAGUUAAAGAUGCUGAUUUGUUCAUUAUGGGACAGACAGAUGAAGAUUUUCUAGUAACGAAGCCUGCUGAGUGUGAAAGAUACUCUGAACAGCUGCAAAAAGAAAAAGAAUUCCUGUUCAUUCCCAGCAUGCAAACAGUGCCUACUUCUCAGAAGAUGCCUGAAAACAUGCAGCCUAGGUACCUUGAGGAUGAGGGUCUUUACGCAGAAGAAAGGCCCUUUGUAUCACCAUCUAAUCAAAAUAUUUUAGAAAACAGAAUUCUAAGACAGGAGAAAGGGAAAGAGUGGUUUGGUGAUGAUGGCAGAAUCUUAGCAUUGCCUAAUCCAAUUAAGCAGUCUUCUACUAGGCCUCCAGUAUUCUCAUUGGAAGAAGGCAUUGCACCAGAACUUGAAACAAUCUAUAGAAAGGCAAUAAGAACAACAGCUGCCAAUCAGUAUCUCAUUGGACCUGGAGAUUUUCAGGGGCCGUUUCAACUGGAUAUUGAUAUUUCUGGACUAAUAUUCACACAUCAUCCCUGUUUUAGCCGUGAACAUGUGUUAGCAGCUAAACUGGCUCAGUUAUAUGAUCAGUAUUUAGCCAGAAAACAGAAGAAUCUUACUGAACUUCUCACAGACAAGCUGCGUGCUUUGAGGAACGCUGUGCAAUGUAGCAUGGACAGUGCUGCUGCUUCUGGUCCUACAGCACAACAGAGCAUACCUGAAUACAAAAUUGAAAUCAGGCAAACCAGAAGACUUCGUGAUGCUGAACAAGAAAAAGAUAGGAUGUUGCUUAAAAGUAUUAUAAAAGUUUGGAAACAAAUGAAGUCCCUCCGUGAAUUUCAGAAGUUCACUAACACGCCCAUGAAGCUUUAUUUGAGGAAGGAAGAAGUUGAUCAGAGAUCAGAUGAGAAAGCAUAUGAAGCAGAAAUUCAGGCUGAGAUAAAUGAAUUACAAGAAGAAUACAUGGAAGAAUAUGAAAAGAAAAUGGAGGAGUAUAAAACUGAGCUACAAGAGUGGAAAUCCUGGAAGAAGGCACAGAAGUCCAAAAAGAAAAAGAAGAAAGACCUUCGAGAAGAAGAAUCAGUAGAAGAUUAUGAUGUUGGUGAAGAACCUGUAAAGCCAGUCCCACCUAAAAUGGUCGAUAGCUUGGAAAUAGAGCAGCAGGUUAGAGAAAAAGCUAACAACUUCAGAAGGAAACCUGGAGAGCCUGCUUUAAUUCCUGAACUAGUCUUGUCAGGAAGCAUAACUCCAAGUGAGCAGUGUCCUCGGGCAGAGGUUUUACGACGAGAAGACGUAAACAAACGCUCUGCAUUUAUAAAAGUCUUUUUCAACUCCAAAGAAGUAUCAAGGACUGUUACUCGACCACUAAGUUCAGAUUUCAGAGUUCACUUUGGACAGAUUUUCAAUUUACAAAUUUUCAACUGGCCAGAGAGUUUGAAGCUACAGAUCUAUGAAACAACGGGCAUGAGCAGUACCACCUUGCUGGCUGAAGUUUUCAUACCUGUUCCUGAGACGACAGUUCUGACAGGCAGCGCUCCCAUGGAGGAGAUAGAGUUCAGCAGCAAUCAGCGUGUGAUGCUGGACCAUGAAGGAGUUGGGAGUGAUGUAUCCUUUUCAUUUGAAGCUGAUGGUAGCAAUCAAAUGACUUUAAUGACUUCUGGGAAGGUAUCUAAUAGUGUUUCUUGGGCAGUUGGAGAGAAAGGAAUCCCCCUGGUUCCUCCAGUAUCUCAGCAAAACACAGGAAUUCCAAGUGCUUUAAAAAAUAUUGAUGCUAUUGCAUCCAUUGGCACAUCAGGCUUAACUGACAUGAAGAAACUGGCUAAGUGGGCAGCAGAAACUAAACUUGAUCCGAAUGACCCAAACAAUGCAGCUCUGAUGCAGAUGAUUAUGGUUGCCAGUAGUGGAGAGGCACAUGUUCCUGACUUCUUCAGACUGGAACAGUUGCAGCAAGAGUUUAAUUUUGUUUCUGAUGAAGAAUUUAAUAGAUCAAAGAGAUUCCGACUCCUGCAGCUCAGGAAUGAGGAGGUGGCAGAGUUCCGAAACUAUAAGCAAGUCCCUUUGCAUGAACGAGAAAUCAGUGAGAAACUUUUCCAGGAAUAUGAGAAAAGACUACACGAGAGGGAUGUGAUUGACAGUAAGCAUUACCUGGAUGCGCGCAGAGCUGUUGUUGCCAACUAUCUACAAAAGGUUCGAGAAUCAGUAAUUAACCGUUUCCUAAUAGCAAAGCACCAUUUCCUUCUCUCUGACCUGGUCAAUGAAGAGGAGAUUCCAACUCUGGGUAUUUUGGGACUCGGCCUCUUUAAACUGGCAGAGCCAAAACGGCCGUUAAAGCCAAGAAGAAAGGAAAGGAAGAAGGUCACAGCACAGAGUUUAUCAGAUGGAGACAUCAAGCUGUUAGUGAACAUCAUUAGAGCUUAUGACAUUCCAGUAAGAAAACCAGUCACAAGCAAACUUCAACAGCCAUCCAAAUCUUCGAGAUCCUUUAAUGAGAUGUUUGCAGCCUCUCCAUCUGCUCAGAGCCCAACCAACAAUGUAGAUUGGGCGUUUGACCAGGUUUUAGUCCGUCCAUUUGUAGAAGUUUCUUUUCAGCGAACAGUCUGUCGGACAACAACAGCAGAAGGUCCAAACCCCAACUGGAAUGAGGAACUUGAGUUUCCAUUUAGAGCUCCUAAUGGUGACUACAGCACCCAUAGUUUGCAGUCAGUGAAGGAUGAAGUGUUCAUUAAUGUUUUUGAUGAAGUACUUCAUGAUGUUACAGAGGAUGAUCGUGACAGAGGAAGUGGUAUCCACACUCGUAUCGAGCGGCGCUGGCUGGGAUGUGUUAAGAUUCCCUUUACUACAAUAUAUUUUCAGGCUAGGAUUGAUGGUACAUUCAAGGUGAAUAUUCCUCCGGUACUCCUUGGCUACAGCAAAGAGAAGAACCUGGGCAUUGAGAGAGGGUAUGAUUCUGUGCGAAACCUGAGUGAGGGCUCCUAUAUAACACUGUUCAUUACCAUUGAACCACAGCUCAUUCCUGGAGAGUCGGUCAGGGAGAAGAUGAAUGAAAUGCUUAAGAAGUUUGAUACCCAAGAAGAUGAGAAAUUGCUUCAAGCAGCAGAAAAAUAUGAAGCUGAAUGUACGUCGAAGUUUCCAAGCCGUCAGUGCCUAACAACGGUAAUUGAUCUCAGUGGAAAAACAGUGUUUAUUACCAGAUACAUCAAACCCCUCAAUCCGCCCCAGGAGCUCCUCGAUGCCCUCCCAAACAGCUCUCAGACAACAGCAGAAUUGGUGGCUCGAUAUGUUGCUUUGAUUCCAUUCUUGCCAGAUAGUGUGUCAUUUGCUGGAAUUUGUGACCUGUGGUGUACAUCAGAUCAAUUUCUUGAUCUUCUGGCGGGGGAUGAGGAAGAACAUGCCGUGCUCCUGUGUAAUUAUUUUCUUGGUAUGGGGAAGAAAGCCUGGCUAAUCAUUGGAAAUGCUAUUCCUGAGGGACAAACUGCAUAUGUGUUAACUUUGGAGCAAAGUCAGUAUGUGAUUUGGAAUCCCAGCACUGGCUGCUUUUACAGGCAGUACGAUACUUUCUGCCCCUUGCAAAGCGUGUACUGUCUGAUCAGCUGCGAUAACAUUUGGUUUAAUAUCCAACAGUGGGACUCUCCAGUAAGGAUAAGUUUUGAUAUCAGCAAACCAAAACUUUGGAAGCCUUUCUUUUCAAGAAGCUUACCAUACCCUGGGCUCUGCAGUGUUCAGCCUGAAGAAUUGGUGUAUCAGCAUUCAGACAAAGCUGCUGCGGUGGAACUACAGGGCAGGAUUGAAAAAAUACUGAAGGAGAAAAUUAUGGAAUGGAGACCAAGGCAUUUAACUCGCUGGAACAGAUACUGUACCUCUACCCUACGUAACUUCUUGCCUCUGCUGGAACAAAACCAAGGCAAAGAUGUAGAAGAUGACCAUCAGGCAGAGCUGCAAAAGCAGCUGGGAGAUUACAGGGUGUCUGGAUUUCCUAUUCAUAUGCCAUUUUCUGAAGUCAGACCUUUAGUAGAAGCUGUACACAGCACUGGAGUUCAUACCAUUGAUGUUUCCAAUGUUGAAUUUGCCCUAGCUGUGUACGUUCAUCCUUAUCCCCAAAAUGUUCUCUCCACAUGGAUUUACGUUGCUUCACUUGUACGGAAUCGGUAGUACAGCCCAGUCAGAACACCUCAGCUUUGCUGAUGGAGGGGGAAGUAAUACAGAUUUCUCACACUGCUGAUUUGAGCUAUCCCACAUAGCUUGAAAGUCUAGCGAGAACCUGAUUUUUCAGAAGCUGCAAACAUUUAGCUUUGCUCAGUUUAAAACCACAGGAGAUAACUUACCAACCUUGACCAACAGUUCUGGGAUUCAAGUACCUUAAUUAAACUCUUCCGAGUGAAAGCAAGGGUGGGUUCAGGUUAGGAAGGAUAUCAAAGUUAAGGUAGAGCUUAAGGCCAAAGAAGAUUCAGUCCAUCCAAUAAAUGUUGGACAAAACCUUUGCUUUAGAACCUGGGAUGCCACAGGUUCCCCUCUAAUCAACAGAAAAGCACCUCUACAGAACUGUCAUGCAGCAGCAAGCAUCUGCACUCUAAUCACAAUGCUCUGCUUGAACAACACUGAUUGAUUACAUCUCUGAAGUCCACCACCUUUUCAGAAAAGGGUGAAAAAAAAGAACAUGGUCUUCUCACACUAUUUUCUGCAGCUGAUUCAGCCCUCUACCAAUCUGCACAGGAAGCAGUAAUAGUAUGUAGCAGUAAGGACGAGAACCUCCCCAGCUGCUCCUUCUUCACCUCAGGAACAAGAGUUCCAGAACAGAGAGGCAGAGAAGCCCCCCCAUACCUUGUUACUUCUCUCAGAGCCAGAACGAGUGGCCAUUUACAUCUAAUCUAAGCUUUAGGCACCAGAAAGUUUAAUGCAGUUUACUUGAAAGAACAGUUGCUAUAACGGAAGCCUACCAGAGAGGUAUGAAAGGAGACUGCUAACUGACCACCACACCUACUUCCUCUAGCUGGGUUCAGCUUCUAACCACUAGCAGCCAUCUCUGGCACUAACAAAAAUUGAGUAGUGUUUUUUGUCAGUUUUGAUGCAAAAAAAGAAUGCUCUCAAACCUUGGAAGAGUUGGGUGGUGAGAUGGCAUCAGUACAACAAACUGCCACUCAUCUCCAGUUAUGCCUGCAAGCUGACCUCCCACACUCACUCUACCUAAGCCACCUGAACUGCUGUCCUCCUCAAUAAUUAAUUUAUCCAAGUCAUAAAAAGGGUAAAAAUUACUCAUUUGGCAUACUGUCAGCCUGCAAAACUAGCCUUCUAUGAGGCUGCCAGCUCCACCCCCUGCAUCUGCUCGAAAGAAAACUUAACUUACAACUGUAGUAAGCAGAUGACCACAAAGAUCAGAGUACUCACCCUCUCCUGGAAUAGCCUCUUCCCCCAACACCCCACACAGAUGUGUGCUGUCCUCACGCAUCACUCCUUGUUCUUUUUAGCGUAGUUCUCUCUCAGCCUAACAAUGGCUUCUUUGCAUCCCUGCUCCUCCUCUCUGCUGUUCAGUGAAGCAGUCAUUUUAAAUCAAAACAAUGGGGAAAACAUCUUCCACAGAUUUUUUAUGAAUGAAAGCUGAUAUUCCUAGAAGCUGUUUGGAAAUGCAGUCACUGCAGGAAGGAAUGCCUAUUUUCAAGGUUCACAGUUGCACUACCACCAUACAGCCCCCACCAAACCUCCUUAGCUUACCAGUGCUUAUCUCACACCUCAAUGUCACACUUUAAAAGCAUAUAUAUUCCACUGCUACAUAAAGUUUUUAUUGGUGGGAAUGUUUUAUUUGAGUAUGUCUUUCAAGCCCAAAUACAAAACCAAAUGCAAAAGGAAAGUGGGAAUUACCCUAAUUUUGCAAUAUAAAGGACAACUUCAGGAUAAGAGGAGAGGGGGAGAAACAAGGCUCCUAAAGAUGUAUUACUGUUACCCAAAUGCAAACAAUACAUUUCAAAUUAGCCGCAGAGCUUUAUAUUGUACUGAUGGAUUAAAAAUAAGAAACCAUUCACUUAACACAAAAUAAUCCAUUAAAGUAUAUUUAAGUGCCAAACUUGGAAGAAAGUGGCAUUAAAAAAAAAAAAAUCUGCAUGUUUUCCCAUCUUCCCCAAAUAAA